rnacentral:rRNA from 1 species
GCCUGCCUAAUACAUGCAAGUCGAACGCUUUUUCCUUUACCGGAGCUUGCUCCACCGAAAGAAAAAGAGUGGCGAACGGGUGAGUAACACGUGGGUAACCUGCCCAUCAGAAGGGGAUAACACUUGGAAACAGGUGCUAAUACCGUAUAACACUAUUUUCCGCAUGGAAGAAAGUUGAAAGGCGCUUUUGCGUCACUGAUGGAUGGACCCGCGGUGCAUUAGCUAGUUGGUGAGGUAACGGCUCACCAAGGCCACGAUGCAUAGCCGACCUGAGAGGGUGAUCGGCCACACUGGGACUGAGACACGGCCCAGACUCCUACGGGAGGCAGCAGUAGGGAAUCUUCGGCAAUGGACGAAAGUCUGACCGAGCAACGCCGCGUGAGUGAAGAAGGUUUUCGGAUCGUAAAACUCUGUUGUUAGAGAAGAACAAGGAUGAGAGUAGAACGUUCAUCCCUUGACGGUAUCUAACCAGAAAGCCACGGCUAACUACGUGCCAGCAGCCGCGGUAAUACGUAGGUGGCAAGCGUUGUCCGGAUUUAUUGGGCGUAAAGCGAGCGCAGGCGGUUUCUUAAGUCUGAUGUGAAAGCCCCCGGCUCAACCGGGGAGGGUCAUUGGAAACUGGGAGACUUGAGCGCAGAAGAGGAGAGUGGAAUUCCAUGUGUAGCGGUGAAAUGCGUAGAUAUAUGGAGGAACACCAGUGGCGAGGGCGGCUCUCUGGUCUGUAACUGACGCUGAGGCUCGAAAGCGUGGGGGGCGAACAGGAUUAGAUACCCUGGUAGUCCACGCCGUAAACGAUGAGUGCUAAGUGUUGGAGGGUUUCCGCCCUUCAGUGCUGCAGCAAACGCAUUAAGCACUCCGCCUGGGGAGUACGACCGCAAGGUUGAAAC